rnacentral:rRNA from 1 species
UACAGAGGGUGCGAGCGUUGUCCGGAAUCACUGGGCGUAAAGGGCGCGUAGGCGGCCUGAUAAGUAGGGGGUGAAAUCCUGUGGCUCAACUGCAGGGCUGCCUCCUAGACUGUCGGGCUUGAGCACGGUAGAGGCAGAUGGAAUUCCCGGUGUAGCGGUGGAAUGCGUAGAGAUCGGGAAGAACAUCAGUGGCGAAGGCGGCCUUCUGGACGGUGACUGACGCUGAGACGCGAAAGCGUGGGGAGCAAACAGG